rnacentral:rRNA from 1 species
UACGUAGGGUCCAAGCGUUAAUCGGAAUUACUGGGCGUAAAGCGUGCGCAGGCGGUUGUGCAAGACCGAUGUGAAAUCCCCGAGCUUAACUUGGGAAUUGCAUUGGUGACUGCACGGCUAGAGUGUGUCAGAGGGGGGUAGAAUUCCACGUGUAGCAGUGAAAUGCGUAGAGAUGUGGAGGAAUACCGAUGGCGAAGGCAGCCCCCUGGGAUAACACUGACGCUCAUGCACGAAAGCGUGGGGAGCAAAC